AUGCACGCAGCAUGGGUAACAAACAGGAGGAGCUGGAAGCCAUUGUGCAGCAGGCAGGCUACGACUUGGUUGCCAUCACGGAGAUGUGGUGGGACCACUCUCGUGACUGGAGUGCUGCAAUGCCUGGCUAUAAGCUCUUCAGAAGGGACAGGCAGCACAGCAGGGGUGGUGGUGUGGCUCUCUAUAUCAGAGAAAGUUUUGAUGUCGUGGAACUUGAGGCUGGGAAUGAUAAGCCUAACCCUAUGGGUUAGGAUCAGCAGGAAGGCCAACAAGGCAAACAACCCAGUGGGGGUCUGUUAUAGACUGCUGAACCAGGAUGAAGAGAUGGAUGAGGAGUUCUACAGGCAGCGGACAGAAGUUGCAAAAUCAUCAGCGCUUGCUCUCGUGGGGGACUUCAACUUCCCAGACAUAUCCUGGAAGCACAACACAGCCCAGAGAAAGCAGUCUAGGAGGUUUCUGGAGAGCGUGGAAGAUAGCUUCCUGAUGCAGCUGGUUAGUGAGCCUACCAGGGGUGGUGCCCCGCUAGACCUUCUCUUCACAAACAGAGAAGGACUGGUGGGAGAUGUGGUGGUUGGGAGCUGUCUUGGGCAGAGUGACCACGAAAUGGUGGACUUCUCUAUUAUUGGAGAAGCCAGGAGGGGGAUCCGUAAAACCACAGUCUUGGACUUCCGUAGGGCUGAUUUUGAGCUGCUCAGGACACUGGUUGGUAGAGUCCCUUGGGAGGCGGUUCUGAAGGGCAGAGGAGUACAGGAAGGCUGGGCGCUCUUUGAGAGGGAAAUCUUAAUGGCACAGGAGCGGUCUGUCUCCACGUGCCCAGAGACGAGCCAGCAUGGAAGAAGACUGGCCUGGCUCAGCAGAGAAUUGUGUCUUGAGCUCAGGAGAAAAAAGAGGGUUUAUGAUCUUUGGAAAAGAGGGCGGGCCACUUGGGAGGACUAUGAGGAUGUUGUGAGGCUGUGCAGGAAAAAAAUUAGAAAGGCCAAAGCUCAUCUGGAGCUCAAUCUGGCUACUGCUGUUAAAGAUGACAAAAAAAUUUUUACAAAUACAUCAGUGCAAAAUGGAAGACUAAGGAGAAUCUCCAGCCUUUACUGGAUGUGA
rnacentral:lncRNA from 1 species